GUUAGGGACAUGGAAGGAGAGGCUAGCCAGCGUCUCACAGCACAAAUCACUGUCCCGAAAUUUAAGAAGAAAGGAGGAUGGGAGCCCUUGGGAGGAAGACCUAUAAGAUUGGCGAGAGUCCCAGUGUAAAGCGGAUUGUUUCUAGAACCAUCUUGGAGAGGUUCUUCCACCGGGGGGUCUGCUCCAGGUGGUACACCCACCGGGUCAACCCUUUGUAGUGAGGGCCAUCCCGGCAUCACCCAGCCAGUUCCAGACCCCUUGCAGAACGCGGAGGUUGGCAACAGCAACGGCUUUUCUGGAUGCGUCAGUAUUCACCUCCACCCCCCAGGCCUUUCCCAAAUGUCUGUUCCUUUCUCCCUCAGCCCCACUGCUACUACGCCCCGGGUGGGCUUCUCAACCCUGCUGUCUGUGAAUGUCCCAAAGCCCACAGGGGCCUCCAGUCCAGGACUCGGCUAGCAUUUUUUUACAGGUACUGAGUAACUCAGUCUCACAGUCAAAGCCUUUAGAGAUUUUCAUAUCACAUGUUUUUGCUAACAUACAAGUCACUGGCAAUUUUUUAAAAGCUGGCACAAUACCCGCGAAGAACAUAGGCAUUUAUCAUUUCUUUACACCUACCGAGUACCUCUCCCAACACUAUGUGUAGCAGUGUACGGAAGGGCACACUAAGGGUACCACCCCAGGUCUUAGUGCUAUAUUUGAAGUCGCUGAACAGCGGCCUAUUGAGAAAUAAAGACAAGCAAUGAGGCCAACAAAUGAACAAAGAAGCACUCCCUGAACCUGAGUGGAGGAAAAAAUCUUAACAGUGUCUCCAUUGCCAUUACAAAAAUCCUGUAACGCUCAGAGUAUGCAGAACCAAGAGUUUAUAAAUGUACUGCACUUUACAAAUUAUUAAAUCAGAUGGCAGCAUUACCCGCUCAUCAGGAUGUCCAAAUAAAUCUGUAUUUCAAGUGGCUGCAAACCAGAAUUCCCAUCUGCUGUCCUGCGGCACCCAGGUUAACCUUACCAGUGGGGCUCAGAGCACUGUUAUCUCAGCUAAGAAGAGCAUAGAUGAAGAAGCGUGCCCAUGCCUGAGAGAGCCACGAGGGCCCCUCCCCAAGAUGUCCACUCAGCUCAGAGAGGAUUGAACCAGGCAGGAGCCGAGGUGACCUUAGAAAUUCAUUAUUCCCUUCCUGUUCCAUCAGAACAGAUUUACGAAGUUAAGAUUGGGUUUUUCUGUGAUGCACAUACAACUUGUAGAAAGAAGAACAUACGGUUUCCUGCCUCCUACUCCAGCAAUACACAAGAACAUGCAAAUGAUGCUUCGCUUGUUUGAAACUGUCUAACAAUAGACCUGAUAAAAUAAUAUUAAUCUCUAUCUAGCAGGUUCCGUUGUAUUUUACCAAGCUGUAGUUCUGUUUUAGAUAGAUCUCCUUCUGACGUGCUAAUCUUUUUAAUGCCUCCCUCACCCUCACUUCCUAUUCUUCCCACUGAGAAUAUCUGUGAAACGACUAGGAGAGAAA
rnacentral:lncRNA from 1 species